GAUGAACGCCGGCGGCGUGCCUAGUACAUGCAAGUCGAGCGAACGGACGAGAAGCUUGCUUCUCUGAUGUUAGCGGCGGACGGGUGAGUAACACGUGGAUAACCUACCUAUAAGACUGGGAUAACUUCGGGAAACCGGAGCUAAUACCGGAUAAUAUUUUGAACCGCAUGGUUCAAAAGUGAAAGACGGUCUUGCUGUCACUUAUAGAUGGAUCCGCGCUGCAUUAGCUAGUUGGUAAGGUAACGGCUUACCAAGGCAACGAUGCAUAGCCGACCUGAGAGGGUGAUCGGCCACACUGGAACUGAGACACGGUCCAGACUCCUACGGGAGGCAGCAGUAGGGAAUCUUCCGCAAUGGGCGAAAGCCUGACGGAGCAACGCCGCGUGAGUGAUGAAGGUCUUCGGAUCGUAAAACUCUGUUAUUAGGGAAGAACAUAUGUGUAAGUAACUGUGCACAUCUUGACGGUACCUAAUCAGAAAGCCACGGCUAACUACGUG
rnacentral:rRNA from 1 species